rnacentral:tRNA from 1 species
GCCCGUGUAGCUCAGCAGUAGAGCAUCGGCCCGUGCACCAAAGGAUCUUGGGUUCAAUUCCCAGUCACAGGCA